GGGGUUGUGGCUCAGUGGUGGAGUGCUUGCCUAGCAUGCAUGAGGCACUGGGUUCGAUCCCCAGCAUCACAU
rnacentral:tRNA from 1 species